UACGAGGGGGGCGAGCGUUGUUCGGAAUUAUUGGGCGUAAAGGGUGCGUAGGCGGUUUGGUAAGUCUUGUGUGAAAUCUCCAGGCUCAACUUGGAGUCUGCACGAGAAACUGCCGGGCUGGAGUGUGGGAGAGGUGCGUGGAAUUCCCGUGUAGCGGUGAAAUGCGUAGAUAUCGGGAGGAACACCUGUGGCGAAAGCGGCGCACUGGACCACAACUGACGCUGAGGCGCGAAAGCUAGGGGAGCAAACAGG
rnacentral:rRNA from 1 species